GACGAACGCUGGCGGCGUGCUUAACACAUGCAAGUCGAACGAACAGACGCUGCUUUUGCUGCGUGCUCGUUUGGCGAACGCGUGAGUAACACGUGAGUAUCCUGCCCUUGUCUUACUGGUAACAUCUCGAAACUGGGGCGCAUAUCGCAUAUGAUCUCCUGCUGCACAUGGUGGGAUGGUAAAAUUCGGCGGUUGUGGAUGGACUCGCGGCUUAUCAGCUUCUUGGGGGGGUAGGGGCUUUCAAAGGCUUUGACGGGUGGCCGGCAUGAGAGGGUGACCGGCCACAUUGGGACUGAGAUACGGCCCAGACUCCUACGGGAGGCAGCAGUGGAGAAUAUUGCGCAAUGGGCGGAAGCCUGAUGCAGCAACGCCGCGUGCGGGAUGACGGCCUUCGGGUUGUAAACCGCUUUCGCCUGUGACGAAGCGUGAGUGACGGUAAUGGGUAAAGAAGCACCGGCUAACUACGUG
rnacentral:rRNA from 1 species